rnacentral:rRNA from 1 species
UACGGAGGGGGCUAGCGUUAUUCGGAAUUACUGUGCGUAAAGCGCACGUAGGCGGCUUUGUAAGUUAGAGGUGAAAGCCUGGAGCUCAACUCCAGAAUUGCCUUUAAGACUGCAUCGCUCGAAUCCAGGAGAGGUGAGUGGAAUUCCGAGUGUAGAGGUGAAAUUCGUAGAUAUUCGGAAGAACACCAGUGGCGAAGGCGGCUCACUGGACUGGUAUUGACGCUGAGGUGCGAAAGCGUGGGGAACAAACAGG